CCCCUCGUCGUUCAACGGAUAGGACAGGAGAUUGCGGAUCUUCAAAUCGUGGUUCGAUUCCACGCGAGGGGACUA
rnacentral:tRNA from 5 species